CGGCACGGGUGAGUAACACGUAUGCAACCUGCCCUCUUCAGGGGGACAACCUUCCGAAAGGGAGGCUAAUCCCGCGUAUAUCAGUUUCGGGCAUCCGAGAUCGAGGAAAGAUUCAUCGGAAGAGGAUGGGCAUGCGGCGCAUUAGCUAGACGGCGGGGUAACGGCUCACCGUGGCGACGAUGCGUAGGGGUUCUGAGAGGAAGGUCCCCCACACUGGUACUGAGACACGGACCAGACUCCUACGGAAGGCAGCAG
rnacentral:rRNA from 1 species